rnacentral:lncRNA from 1 species
UGAAAAUUGAGUUGAAUAACUGAAAAGGUUGAAAAAAAAAAUUGAAUAUUUUAGAAUUUUCGGAGUUAUAAGGUGUUAGUUUGAAAAAGAUGUUCAAAGAGCCACCCCCGGUAUCGUAUUAGUUAAAUCUCUAUUUUGAACGGAUUGCGACAAAUUGGUGUCAAUUUUGCCGAAUUUCUAAAAAUCAUUUUUCGUGAACCGUUACAUCUUGAUGAUUUUGAAACUUGAGGUCAUUUUUGAUAAUGAAAUUUUGGUGUUUCGAUGUAUUUUGAAAUCUUAUAAUAUUUUAUCUUCAUCAUAAUGAUUUUUGGAGUACAACUUUUAAUCUUUAUAAAAUUAAUUUGAUUUUGAAGGAUUUUUGAAAAAAUUCUAAAUUUUUGAAAUCCGGCAAAGUGUAUUGGUAGCCAAAGUGUACCGGUUACA